rnacentral:lncRNA from 1 species
ACUGGAGCCAGUGUCCCUGGGAGAUAGGGAAGUCCCUCCCCAUGAAGGGACCUAGGUUCUUUGUAUCCUCUCCUGUAGUCCUGGGCCAAUAACUGACUGCUUUAUGGAAAACACACACACACAAAACAAACAAACAAACAAAGAAACCACCUUGCAUUCAUGCCCCAAGACUGAGCAGACCCUGUGGUACAGUUUAUUCCCCAGAGGCCCCAUGGGAUCAAGCUGAAGCCCAGCUGCAUCGGAGACCACAUCCUUUUUCAUUUUUCUUUCCUCCCUUCCCAAUAUGGCUCCCACCGACCCCUACAUGUUUCUUGUGAGUGCACUCCAUUGAUAAAUGUCUUGCACAAACAUCCCCUUCUCAGGUUCUGCUCCAGGGAACUGUACCCAAGACACUACCAGCAUCUGUCCCUCAAUGCCACACACCUGUCAUCCCACACAUCAAAAGGAAUCCCACGUAAUAGGAUACAAGCACAACUGCAAACACACUCACUGCCCCCGCCCCCUCCAACAAGGAGACAAAUGAAAAGUCCAUCACUCAUCCAGAGAAGACUUUUUAGAGCCACUGUUCUUGGAGCCUGUUACCUCUGGGAGAAACUGCAACUGUAGCAGCAUUCCUUCCCCCCAGGAAUGUGACAAAGAUGAGCACCAUUCCAACACCUGUUGCUGAGGCACUUUCCAGGGGUCUAGCUGUGGAGGCCCCUACUCUUCUCUAGAGCAGGCACUUCAAUCUUCAGGCCAAAACUAAAAUGUCUGCAUGACCACACUGCCAGGUUGCCCAAGAUUGGCUGACUUUGUAUGCAUCCUGAUUAAAAAUGGCAUCUUGCUCUCUGGUCUGGGAAAAUGCUGUGGCUUUUCCCUGUGACUUUUCUUCACAGCGUCUCCAAACUUCUCCCCAAGUUAGUUCCAGGGCUUAGGAGAAAAAAAGUGCUCUCCCUCGGCCUGGGCUGCUCAGAUCCCCAGUGGAAAGGUG